ensembl:lncRNA novel transcript
UUGAGAUGGAGUCUCACUUUGUCACCCAGGCUGGAAUGCAGUGGCAUGAUCUCGGCUCACUGCAACCUUUGCCUCCCAGGUUCAAGCAAUUCUCCUGUCUCAGCCUCCCCAGUAGUUGGGAUUACAGGCACACACCACCACACCAGGCUAAUUUUUGUAUUUUUAGUAGAGACAGGGUUUCACCA